UAGGGAAUCUUCCGCAAUGGACGCAAGUCUGACGGAGCAACGCCGCGUGAGUGAAGAAGGAUUUCGGUUCGUAAAACUCUGUUGUUAGAGAAGAACAGCGCAUAGAGUAACUGUUAUGCGUGUGACGGUAUCUAACCAGAAAGCCAUGGCUAACUACGUGCCAGCAGCCGCGGUAAUACGUAGGUGGCAAGCGUUGUCCGGAUUUAUUGGGCGUAAAGCGAGCGCAGGCGGUCAAUUAAGUCUGAUGUGAAAGCCCCCGGCUCAACCGGGGAGGGUCAUUGGAAACUGGUUGACUUGAGUGCAGAAGAGGAGAGUGGAAUUCCAUGUGUAGCGGUGAAAUGCGUAGAUAUAUGGAGGAACACCAGUGGCGAAGGCGACUCUCUGGUCUGUAACUGACGCGGAGGCUCGAAAGCGUGGGUAGCAAACAGG
rnacentral:rRNA from 1 species